rnacentral:lncRNA from 1 species
CAUUUCCCUGUCUCAUGGAAAAAGCUCUGGGCACAUUCCCUAAGGAUGGGAUGGAAACCACUGGUCUUUGAUGAAAGAUGGGCAAGUGGAGACACUUAGCUACAGGCUCAGCCUAUUUCUCUAGGAAUUAGACAUCUGGGUGAAAAUCCCUGCCAAAAAAUCCAUGAAGUUUCCAGAUGUUUCCAACUACCCAUACAUUGGGUGGUAUAUAGACCCCGCUGCUUUCUCUAGUGAGAAGUAAAAUAAUUUUCAACAAUGUUUCUGAGUACUGGGUUUUCCAUUCUGGUUUUGACAGUUUCUCUGUAGAGUCACUUGACUUCCAGAAGACACCAUCAUCUCCAGUGUUGGGAUGGCUCAGGAACCUAACGUACCUCCCAGAGCUCUGCUCAGCCACAAGAGGAGACUGACCUCUCACACGUGUCCCAAAAGAAUUAAGAACCCACACUCUAUCAUCAAACCACCAGGCAGAUGCCAUCCCCAGGACAAUGCAGCCCAUCCAAGGUUCCCCAUCAAGCACUGCUGACCUUACAGCCUUUGAUCCAUGAGGGUUAAUGAAACCUCUUCCCUUUUUAGUUUUACCCAACCCUGCUUGUUGUAAAUAUUUUCUUGUCAAGAACAUGAGAGGAGCAGCCUAAAAAUAAUGUGGGUUGCCAGUGAGCCCCAGUCCUCAGCAGUUUCCAAUGUGCUCUUUUGCUGUCUGCUGCCCUCCAUCCACAAUGAGAUGAUUUUUCAUAUACUCAUCACAUUUGUGUUAUGUCAUGCCAUAUUAUAUUUUAGAACAUUGCUCAAAAAUGGGUUUGAUGGAUAACUUUUGUUCUUAGAAACUAUGACUUUUCUAUUCUCCACAACCCCCUAAUCAGGCACCUGCUAUCAAUUUGACUUGCAUGUAACCAGAAUUCUCAGAACUUGUUGGUUGCUCCUGCUGGCUCCUGUCCAUGUAUGCCAAGAGGACAUGAUGGCAAGCGGAUUAGAACCAGAGAUGAUGAUCCUUCCAUCCCCCUCUGGGCAUCCUCCUCAGCUUCAAGAGCUACAGAUGCAAGAGCAUGAUGGGCAUCCUCCUCAGCUUCAAGAGCUACAGAUGCAAAAGCAUGAAUGAAGUCCUGCCUGUGUUGCCUGACUUUGUCACUGAGACCAGAAGGAGACCCCAUGCGGAAUCAACUAGCAAACACAAACAGCUGCCUGGUGCUGCAGGGCAAACAGACUUGAUGAUGAAAUUCUCAAAAUUCAUCAUUGCCUAAUUUUUUUUUUUUUUAGAAAUAUGCACCAUUUUGUUAGCCAAAGUGCAGAUUUUCGUAGAGAAAACAGGAAAAUUAUUGAUAUGGGUACACUCACAACGUGCUAAAUACAAACUAAACAGAUAACCCAUAAGGCAGAAAAUAUAACCCCUCCCCGACUCCAUUUCUGCCUUUGUCCCUUUCCAUCUGCAUGGCUGUCCCCCACCCUGGCAAGUGCUCUGCCUCUCCCAAGAGCAUUUUUGGGGGUCCAGCCAGGUAGCACCACCUUCCUUAUCCCUUAGUCCUUCCUGCUGCUCAGAGAGGAAUUUUCUGGAGCUGGGCUCUAAUCAGUGCACAGAGGUGGGAUGGAGAUGAGUUUUUUUAAAAUAUAAUUUAUCACGCAUUUGCACCCAUUGUUCUCCCAACCAGAUUGCAAACCACUAGGAUACAGGGUCAUGUCUAGUUUCUCUUGCCUGCCCUCCCCUCCCCAGCUCCCAAAUUAGACAUGGCAGAGUAUCUUUACUACACUGGGCUGGCAAUUCAUGUUUUACACUGAAUAAGUAGAUAAGGCAGAAUUGUCUAUUUUUAUGUUGUUUUUUGGCAGGUCCCUGCCAGACUUCAUAGGCAUAAACUAUGGGAUACAUCUCGUGUGCAUCCAAGUGAGAGAGAGGACAGUAAAACACAGUUACCUACACAGACAGGGAAAAUCACACUCACACAUACACACCGACAGAAUUUCAUUUAAUCAAGUGCACAUUGGAAGUAGAAAGCAUGAAGCUGAAAGUACUCCAGCUCUGUUUAGCCAACACUAAACCAUAAGAGGGACCUCAGCCUUUAACACAUGGCCGGGUUUGACAACUCUUUGGUUCCAGACUGACUUCCCAACUGACCAGUUGCUUUUGCGUCUCUUAGAUUCAGCUUCACCUUGAAUCCCAACUUCCUCCCUCCCCCUCCCUACUUCCCUGGGCGUUCUCUGGCUUUUCAGUCCUGGUAUGAGCCAAGCAAAGCUCAAUUAGCUAAUGAGGUGCCCAAGACCAGCACCAAGACUGUCUCCAAGGGCCAACCAGGCCAUUAACUGCCAUCAUCAGUGUUAAUUUACAACCUUGCCUACCACAUGGAGUGCGGGGAUGCUGUGAAGUUCUGCCAACCUUUUGGCUGACAGGGAUACAGAGAAGUGCUGGCAAGGCAAAAACAGAGUAAAUUAAAAAUAUGCUUCAAUCUAUAGGCUCUAUUUAUCUAUGUCUUUCUUUAGUAAUAUAACAUUAAGGUAAAAGGUCAUAGCCCCACUGAAAUAUAAUUUAUAUUUACCUUUUAUUAAAUAAUUAUGGCAUGGCAUGAAGUUAAAUAUUACAGAAGCUAAUCAAGAGGGAAUUCAAGAGAGAAAACUCAGACAUGAGAAUUUCGUCUUUGCUAUACAUAGAAUGUCUUAAUCCUCCACUGGGAGUCAUUCGGGUUUGCUUAAGGAGUUUAAUAAUACACAUUUCAACUGCCACAGAAUCUAAAUCCCAUUUGGAUCAGCCUUGAAAAACUUUCAUCAAUACCUUGAGAUUUCAUAAUAUUUCUCUUGAGAGCCUGGAUCUCAUGUGCCAUUUCUCAUUUUGAUUGCGGGUAUAAUAUAUGAGAUUACUUACAUAUAUCUUGGACCCAAUAAAUAAAUAUAAAC